rnacentral:tRNA from 1 species
GGGUGAUUAGCUCAGUUGGUAGAGCAUCUCCUUUACACGGAGGGGGUCGGCGGUCAUCACCCACCA